rnacentral:rRNA from 1 species
UGCAAGUCGAACGAUGAAGCCCAGCUUGCUGGGUGGAUUAGUGGCGAACGGGUGAGUAACACGUGAGUAACCUGCCCUUAACUCUGGGAUAAGCCUGGGAAACUGGGUCUUCGGGUGUGUGUGAAUACYGGAUAGGAGCGYCYACCGCAUGGUGGGUGUUGGAAAGAUUUAUCGGUUUUGGAUGGACUCGCGGCCUAUCAGCUUGUUGGUGAGGUAAUGGCUCACCAAGGCGACGACGGGUAGCCGGCCUGAGAGGGUGACCGGCCACACUGGGACUGAGACACGGCCCAGACUCCUACGGGAGGCAGCAGUGGGGAAUAUUGCACAAUGGGCGCAAGCCUGAUGCAGCGACGCCGCGUGAGGGAUGACGGCCUUCGGGUUGUAAACCUCUUUCAGUAGGGAAGAAGCGAAAGUGACGGUACCUGCAGAAGAAGCACCGGCUAACUACGUGCCAGCAGCCGCGGUAAUACGUAGGGUGCGAGCGUUAUCCGGAAUUAUUGGGCGUAAAGAGCUCGUAGGCGGUUUGUCGCGUCUGUCGUGAAAGUCCGGGGCUUAACCCCGGAUCUGCGGUGGGUACGGGCAGACUAGAGUGCAGUAGGGGAGACUGGAAUUCCUGGUGUAGCGGUGGAAUGCGCAGAUAUCAGGAGGAACACCGAUGGCGAAGGCAGGUCUCUGGGCUGUAGUGCCAAUUGACUGACGCUGAGGAGCGAAAGCAUGGGGAGCGAACAGGAUUAGAUACCCUGGUAGUCCAUGCCGUAAACGUUGGGCACUAGGUGUGGGGACCAUUCCACGGUUUCCGCGCCGCAGCUAACGCAUUAAGUGCCCCGCCUGGGGAGUACGGCCGCAAGGCUAAAACUCAAAGGAAUUGACGGGGGCCCGCACAAGCGGCGGAGCAUGCGGAUUAAUUCGAUGCAACGCGAAGAACCUUACCAAGGCUUGACAUGUUCUCGAUCGCCGUAGAGAUACGGUUUCCCCUUUGGGGCGGGUUCACAGGUGGUGCAUGGUUGUCGUCAGCUCGUGUCGUGAGAUGUUGGGUUAAGUCCCGCAACGAGCGCAACCCUCGUUCCAUGUUGCCAGCACGUMRUGGUGGGGACUCAUGGGAGACUGCCGGGGUCAACUCGGAGGAAGGUGAGGACGACGUCAAAUCAUCAUGCCCCUUAUGUCUUGGGCUUCACGCAUGCUACAAUGGCCGGUACAAUGGGUUGCGAUACUGUGAGGUGGAGCUAAUCCCAAAAAGCCGGUCUCAGUUCGGAUUGGGGUCUGCAACUCGACCCCAUGAAGUCGGAGUCGCUAGUAAUCGCAGAUCAGCAACGCUGCGGUGAAUACGUUCCCGGGCCUUGUACACACCGCCCGUCAAGUCACGAAAGUUGGUAACACCCGAAGCCGGUGGCCUAAGCUAAAUUCCGUAAUCGCCCUUGUGGGGGGAGCCGUCGAAGGUGGGACCAGCGAUUGGGACUAAGUCG